rnacentral:rRNA from 1 species
CAAUAGCGUAUAUUAAAGUUGUUGCGGUUAAAAGCUCGUAGUUGGAUUUCUGCCGAGGACGACCGGUCCGCCCUCUGGGUGAGUAUCUGGCUCGGCCUGGGCAUCUUCUUGGAGAACGUAUCUGCACUUGACUGUGUGGUGCGGUAUCCAGGACUUUUACUUUGAGGAAAUUAGAGUGUUUCAAGCAGGCAUACGCCUUGAAUACAUUAGCAUGGAAUAAUAAGAUAGGACCUCGGUUCUAUUUUGUUGGUUUCUAGAGCUGAGGUAAUGAUUAAUAGGGAUAGUUGGGGGCGAUUCGUAUUUAACUGUCAGAGGUGAAAUUCUUGGAUUUAUGGAAGACGAACUACUGCGAAAGCAUUUACCAAGGAUGUUUUUCAUUAAAUCAAGAACGAAAGUUAGGGGA